rnacentral:tRNA from 1 species
GGGCGAUUAGCUCAGUUGGUUAGAGCGCCACGUUGACAUCGUGGAGGUCACAGAUUCGAAUUCUGUAUCGCCCAC